UAGCGUAUACUAAAGUUGUUGCAGUUAAAACGCUCGUAGUCGGAUUUCGGGGCGGGCCGACCGGUCUGCCGAUGGGUAUGCACUGGCCGGCGCGUCCUUCCUUCCGGAGACUGCGCCUACUCUUAGCUGAGCGGGCGUGGGAGACGGAUCGUUUACUUUGAAAAAAUCAGAGUGUUUCAAGCAGGCAGCUCGCUCUUGCAUGGAUUAGCAUGGGAUAAUGAAAUAGGACUCUGGUGCUAUUUUGUUGGUUUCGAACACCGGAGUAAUGAUUAACAGGGACAGUCAGGGGCACUCGUAUUCCGUCGAGAGAGGUGAAAUUCUCAGACCAACGGAAGACGAACCACUGCGAAAGCAUUUG
rnacentral:rRNA from 1 species